GCUUACGGCCAUACCAGCCUGGGUACGCCCACCUGAUCUCGGAAGCUAAGCACGGUCGGGCCUGGUUACUACUUGGAUGGGAGACCGCCUGGGAAUACCAGGUGCUGUAAGCA
rnacentral:rRNA from 1 species